rnacentral:piRNA from 1 species
UGCCCUAAUAACAGAAGGCCUUCAGUGCUC